AACGGCCAUACCAUGCUGAAAGCACCGGUUCUCGUCUGAUUACAGCAGUUAAGCAGCAUAAGGCGCGGUCAGUACUUGGGAGGGAGGAC